rnacentral:misc_RNA from 1 species
GAAUUGUGAGUACAAACACUGAACAGUUCUAAUAAAUCAAGUACUAUCUUACAAGUUCCAGAAUCGAUUUUCAUGGAUCAGAUACUUACAAAACAAUUAUUGUAAACAAAAUAGUUUUACAAUAUCCGUCCUUUGGUAACUGCAAGAUUCUUUGCAUUUCGUGUUAAAAUCGUUCAACAGUAUUUGCGGAUGUUUUUAUAGAACAACAGAGAAUUUGCAUGCAAAUGGUUGUCACCAUGCGUUCAUCAUUUAACAUGAAUCUACAUGAAACUGUCAUCGUAUCUGUUUACCAUGUGGAAAUUCUCUAAAAAUCUUUCCGAAAAUCUUUGUCACAUCUUUGUCACGGAUCUUCAAACGGAUGUCUGUUAUCUAAGUAGAUUAUUAUGCUAAUGUGUAUAAAACUAUAAAGUGUACACGUUCUAUAGUAUAUACUGUAAAGAGCCACACGAUUUGCUUGCGUCGUGUCUGAAACGGGUGUCAUUAAUGAAAAAAAAAUGUAUGAUAUUUCAUGUGAUAUGUGAUAUAAACUUGAAUGUUGUAUAUUUAACGUUGUACAUGCAAUAAAAUACAAUAUAUUGAUAUGUAGAAAACAAAAAGACAUGCUUGUACCUUUACGAUAAACCUGUACUGUUUAUGUUUCAAUAUUAUAGGCCAAAGAAUAAUCACUACUUUAAUUUAAGUUGUGGGUCAUUUGAAUUUUUCCUGGCCCCUUUUUAUUUUUAGUAAAGGACUGUUAUCCGAAAUUAAUUGAAUAUGGAUAUCGUAAAUUAACCCCGAGAUACCAGAAUUACAUUUGGUAGGAUGCUUUUAUGUUUUAGUUACGUUCAUGAAAUCCAUGUUGUUCUGUGUAGGAAAUGUUUUUGUCCAGGAAUAUAAUGGCAUUUCAGAAACUUACAUGUAGGAUACAAUAAAUUUUGAAUAUUCUG